GACGAACGCUGGCGGCGUGCCUAAUACAUGCAAGUAGAACGCUGAAGAGAGGAGCUUGCUCUUCUUGGAUGAGUUGCGAACGGGUGAGUAACGCGUAGGUAACCUGCCUGGUAGCGGGGGAUAACUAUUGGAAACGAUAGCUAAUACCGCAUAAAAUUGAUUAUUGCAUGAUAAUUAAUUGAAAGAUGCAACUGCAUCACUACCAGAUGGACCUGCGCUGUAUUAGCUAGUUGGUGAGGUAACGGCUCACCAAGGCGACGAUACAUAGCCGACCUGAGAGGGUGAUCGGCCACACUGGGACUGAGACACGGCCCAGACUCCUACGGGAGGCAGCAGUAGGGAAUCUUCGGCAAUGGGGGGAACCCUGACCGAGCAACGCCGCGUGAGGGAAGAAGGUUUUCGGAUCGUAAAGCUCUGUUGUAAGAGAAGAACGGGUGUGAGAGUGGAAAGUUCACACUGUGACGGUAUCUUACCAGAAAGGGACGGCUAACUACGUG
rnacentral:rRNA from 1 species